rnacentral:rRNA from 1 species
AUUGAACGCUGGCGGCAGGCCUAACACAUGCAAGUCGAGCGGAUGAAGGGAGCUUGCUCCUGGAUUCAUCGGCGGACGGGUGAGUAAUGGCAAGGAAUCUGCCUGGGCGCGGGAGAUAACGUUCGCAAACGGGCGCUAAUACUGCUUACGUCUUGAGGGUGAAAGUGAGGGAUCUUCGGACCUCAGCCUAAUAGCUUAGCCUAGGUCGGAUUAGCUAGUUGGUGGGGUAAAGGCCUACCAAGGCGACGAUCCGUAGCUGGUCUGAGAGGACGAUCAGUCACACUGGAACUGAGACACGGCCCAGACUCCUACGGGAGGCAGCAGUGGGGAAUUUUGGACAAUGGGCGAAAGCCUGAUCCAGCCAUGCCGCGUGUGUGAAGAAGGUCUUCGGAUUGUAAAGCACUUUAAGUCGGGAGGAAGGGGAGCUGGUUAAUACCUUGCUUUGUUGACGUUACCAACAGAAUAAGCACCGGCUAACUACGUG